UUCCAGCUCCAAUAGUGUAUACUAAAGUUGCUGCAGUUAAAAAGCUCGUAGUUGGAUUUCGGUUAAUGAAAAGUUAGUCCACUUAAUAUAUAAGUGCGUACUGACGUUUUAUUUCCUUCUUUUCAGAUAUACAACUUGUUGUGUUCUGAAUCUUUUACUUUGAGAAAAUUAGAGUGUUCAAAGCAGGCGUAACCAAGCCUUUGAAUAUAUUAGCAUGGGAUAAUGGAAUAAGACUUUUUGCCUUAUUUUCGUUGGUUCUUGAGGCUAAAGUAAUGAUUAAUAGGGAUAGUUGGGGUCAUUAGUAUUUAAUUGUCAGAGGUGAAAUUCUAAGAUUUAUUAAAGACUAACUACUGCGAAAGCAUUUGACAAGGAUGUUUUCAUUAAUCAAGAACGGAAGUUGGGGGAUCGAAGAUGAUCAGAUACCGUCGUAGUCUCAACCAUAAACUAUGCCGACCAAGGAUUCGGGGGUGUUAUAUGAAUGACCCUCCGGGCACUUAUAGAGAAAUCAUAAGUAUUUGGGUUCCGGGGGGAGUAUGGUCGCAAGGCUGAAACUUAAAGGAAUUGACGGAAGGGCACCACCAGGAGUGGAAUAUGCGGUUUAAUUUGACCCAACACGGGAAAACUUACCAGGUCCAGACACAGUGAGGAUUGACAGAUUGAGAGCUCUUUCUUGAUUUUGUGGGUGGUGGUGCAUGGCCGUUUCUAGUUGGUGGAGUGAUUUGUCUGGUUAAUUCCGUUAACGAACGAGACCUUAACCUAUUAAAUAGUUACACAUACUUGGGAUUCGUCCUAAUAGUAUGUGGUUAACUUCUUAGAGGGACUCUUCACGUAAAGAGUGAAUGGAAGUUUGAGGCAAAAACAGGUCAGUGAUGCCCUUAGAUGUUCUGGGCUACACGCGUGUUACACUGAUAUAUUCAACAAGCAUUAUAAUUCCUUACCCGAUGGGGUUGGGUAAUCUUUUAAAUGUAUAUCGUGAUGGGGAUAGACCAUUGUAAUUAUUGGUCUUGAACGAGGAAUUCCUAGUAAGUGCAAGUCAUUAGCUUGCGCUGAUUACGUCCCUGCCCUUUGUACACACCGCCCGUCGCUCCUACCGAUGAAUGGUCCGGUGAGGACUCAGGAUGACCGUGGAUUUUGGUAUGAUAUACCAUGCCAUUGUUUGUCAGAAUCUGUUCAAACCUUAUCAUUUAAAGGAAGGAGAAGUCGUAACAAGGUUUCCGUAGGUGAACCUGCGGAAG
rnacentral:rRNA from 1 species